UACAGGGGGGGCAAGCGUUGUUCGGAAUUACUGGGCGUAAAGGGCUCGUAGGUGGCCGACUAAGUCAGACGUGAAAUCCCUCAGCUUAACUGGGGAACUGCGUCUGAUACUGGAUGGCUUGAGUUUGGGAGAGGGAUGCGGAAUUCCAGGUGUAGCGGUGAAAUGCGUAGAUAUCUGGAGGAACACCGGUGGCGAAGGCGGCAUCCUGGACCGACACUGACGCUGAGGAGCGAAAGCCAGGGGAGCAAACGGG
rnacentral:rRNA from 1 species